rnacentral:rRNA from 1 species
GACGAACGCUGGCGGCGUGCUUAACACAUGCAAGUCGAACGGUGAAGCGCCUUCCUUUUUGGUGGGUGUGGAUGAGUGGCGAACGGGUGAGUAACACGUGAGUAACCUGCCCCCUUCUUCUGGAUAACCGCAUGAAAGUGUGGCUAAUACGGGAUAUUCUGGGUCUGUCGCAUGAUGGGUCUGGGAAAGAUAUUGUUUCGGUGGGGGAUGGGCUCGCGGCCUAUCAGCUUGUUGGGGGGGUGAUGGCCUACCAAGGCGGUGACGGGUAGCCGGCCUGAGAGGGUGGACGGUCACACUGGGACUGAGACACGGCCCAGACUCCUACGGGAGGCAGCAGUGGGGAAUAUUGCACAAUGGGCGAAAGCCUGAAGCAGCGACGCCGCGUGAGGGAUGGAGGCCUUCGGGUUGUGAACCUCUUUCGCCAGUGAAGCAGGCCUGCCUAGUUUGUGGGUGGGUUGACGGUGGCUGGAUAAGAAGCGCCGGCUAACUACGUG